rnacentral:lncRNA from 1 species
GCCUGCCUCUCUUCUCCACCAGGCCUCCCAUCUCUUCAGGCCAGGCCGGGCUAACAUCAUUACACACUCCUGUCAGUUGAGCACAGGUAACUGUGGGACACUGAGGACAGGAAGGAGGGUGUGCUGUAUGCAGAUAUUGUGAUGUUUCUCUUAAGGCUCUCAGAGAUCUUGGGCUUUGUGCUCUAUUUUUCACAAUGAGUAGUUUGCCUUGACAUACUGUUGGCUCUCCAAACUCAUGAUGCAGAAGAUAUCUCUCCCUGUUUUGAACAACCCCCCCAAAACAACAACAACAACAACAACAACAACAACAACAACAAAAAUCCUACAGGUAUUAAAGGAAACAUGCAUGUAACUUCCACAACAUAAUUUGCUGCAAAAAUGCAGAGUGUAGUCUGCAUCCCUUCAAGUGCUGUGUGAAACGUCUAUCAAGAUGCAUCUUUCAUGUUUCCAUAUUGAGUAAACAUUCAUUUUUAGGAGCAACAAGAACCUGCUUUAUUGAUAGUAAGAAAUCAUGCUUGACUACAUUUUAUAGAGGAGUUUUAAUCCAGCAAUGUGUCUGCUCUGGCAAGGGACCACAUCCAAAGAUCCAGGUCUAUGUGAUCUGGGUGGGACAGAGACAUGACACACACCUUUAAUCCCAAACAAUGUAGAGACUAGAACAUUUCUUAUGUCACUUUUUAUCUACACCACCACUUUGCCCUUAGAGAAGAUGUAUCCCAAUUUUAAAGACCAGAGCUUAUGUCUUGUACUGAAAAUUAUCAGUGACAGUGAACUAUACCAUGUCACAGGAUAAGACUGUUCAAGUCUCCAAGGUGUCAGGAGCAGAGAAAGCCUGUGGAAUGAAUAUCUUUUGAUGAAGGUGCAGUCAUGUUAACAACUUCAAAUAGUUGGGAUCAGAAGGAUGGCAAAGCCUUCCAAGGGACUGAAGGAUUGGAUUCCCAAAGGUUUGGAGUGAUGUUCUUCUGGUAACUUCACAUAAUAAGCUGCUGUAGAUUAGACUCAAUAUAAAUUAAACAAUGCCAAAUGCAAUGGGCCAGAGAGAUGGUUCAGUGAUGAAACAUGUGCACCACUCUUGCCCAAGACCUGAGAUGGCUUCCCAGCCCCUACAUUACACAGUUAAUCAUUGCCUCUGACCACAGCUCCAGUAGAUCGGGCAUCCUUUUCUGUCCUCUGUGGGCAUGCGUGCUUAUGUGCACAUACAGACACACGCACACAAAUAUGUGCAUAAACAUUACCAAAAAGACAAUAAACCUUUUAUAAAAUGAAGUACGUUAUAGAACUUAACUCUUUAACACAAGCAAUGCUGUAUAAAGUGUUGCUGUUUUUGUAAUUCUUAAAGUUCGAAAAGGUGAUUGUAAGUUCACUGUUUGAAUCUCUCAUGCAAAACUGCUGUGUGAAGUGCACUAUAAAAUCCAUCUUAAGGGUUAAUCCAAAUAUGCAUUUUAUUAAAGAAAUAAUCUAU